rnacentral:rRNA from 1 species
GACGAACGCUGGCGGCGUGCUUAACACAUGCAAGUCGAACGAUGAAGCCGGAGCUUGCUCUGGUGAUUUAGUGGCGAACGGGUGAGUAACACGUGAGUAACCUGCCCUUGACUCUGGGAUAACUGCGGGAAACUGUAGCUAAUACCGGAUACGACCCUCGGAGGCAUCUCCUGGGGGUGGAAAGAAUUUCGGUCAAGGAUGGACUCGCGGCCUAUCAGCUAGUUGGUGAGGUAAAGGCUCACCAAGGCGACGACGGGUGGCCGGCCUGAGAGGGUGACCGGCCACACUGGGACUGAGACACGGCCCAGACUCCUACGGGAGGCAGCAGUGGGGAAUAUUGCACAAUGGGCGCAAGCCUGAUGCAGCAACGCCGCGUGAGGGAUGACGGCCUUCGGGUUGUAAACCUCUUUUAGCAGGGAAGAAGCGAAAGUGACGGUACCUGCAGAAAAAGCACCGGCUAACUACGUGCCAGCAGCCGCCGUAA